UUGAAGGAUUUGUAAGAAAUGUUUGAGAGAACUGAUUCACUGUUUAACACUGAGUCAGUUAGUUUCCUCAAACAUUUCUUACAAAUCCUUCAA